rnacentral:rRNA from 1 species
AGCAGCCGCGGUAAUUCCAGCUCCAAUAGCGUAUAUUAAAGUUGUUGCAGUUAAAAAGCUCGUAGUUGAAUUUCGGGAUCAGACUGUCGGUCGUGCCUCGGUACGCACUGGCAUUAUUGGUUCCUACCUUCUGAAGAACCGCGAUGUCAUUAAUUUGGUGUCGCGGGGAAUCAGGACUGUUACUUUGAAAAAAUUAGAGUGUUUAAAGCAGGCUUACGCUUGAAUACAUUAGCAUGGAAUAAUGAAAUAGGACGUUUGAUUCUAUUUUGUUGGUUUCUAGGAUCGACGUAAUGAUUAAUAGGGAUAGUUGGGGGCAUUAGUAUUCAAUUGUCAGAGGUGAAAUUCUUGGAUUUAUUGAAGACUAACUACUGCGAAAGCAUUUGCCAAGGAUGUUUUCAUUAAUCAAGAACGAAAGUUAGGGGAUCGAAGACGAUCAGAUACCGUCGUAGUCUUAACCAUAAACUAUGCCGACUAGGGAUCGGAUGAUGUUAAUUUUAUAAUGACUCA